rnacentral:lncRNA from 1 species
GCCAACUUCUAUAGUUUACGGGUUAGAGUAGUCGGCUAAUGCAUGCAUUGUAUAUAUGGUAGGUCCAACAUCUUCAUUAGAAUUUAUACCUUCAUGAUCGGAGUCCACAUUCUUAGCUUUCAAUUCCUCUCCCAUUGGUUCAAUCAUCAGAAGUUGCCCUUGUUUACAUCGGUGCUCCAUACUCCAUUUUUCAUCAUAAUACAAACCCCUUGUUGAUCUUUCCUUGCUAAUUUUUUUCUCAUGUAGAUUUGCAAAUGAGAUCGCAGCUAUCAUAGUACGGGGUUGACGAG